rnacentral:rRNA from 1 species
UACGUAGGGCGCAAGCGUUAUCCGGAAUUAUUGGGCGUAAAGAGCUCGUAGGCGGUUUGUCGCGUCUGCCGUGAAAGUCCGGGGCUCAACUCCGGAUCUGCGGUGGGUACGGGCAGACUAGAGUGAUGUAGGGGGAGACUGGAAUUCCUGGUGUAGCGGUGAAAUGCGCAGAUAUCAGGAGGAACACCGAUGGCGAAGGCAGGUCGCUGGGACGGUACUGACGCUGAGGCGCGAAAGCAUGGGGGAGCGAACAGGG